rnacentral:rRNA from 1 species
AUUGGAUCCAGACUUUGAUCAUGGCUCAGGAUGAACGCUAGCUACAGGCUUAACACAUGCAAGUCGAGGGGAAACGAUAUUGGAAGCUUGCUUCCGAUAGGCGUCGACCGGCGCACGGGUGAGUAACGCGUAUCCAACCUGCCCACCACUUGGGAAUAACCUUGCGAAAGUAAGACUAAUACCCAAUGAUAUCUCAAGAAGACAUCUGAAUGAGAUUAAAGAUUUAUCGGUGAUGGAUGGGGAUGCGUCUGAUUAGCUUGUUGGCGGGGUAACGGCCCACCAAGGCGACGAUCAGUAGGGGUUCUGAGAGGAAGGUCCCCCACAUUGGAACUGAGACACGGUCCAAACUCCUACGGGAGGCAGCAGUGAGGAAUAUUGGUCAAUGGGCGAGAGCCUGAACCAGCCAAGUAGCGUGCAGGAUGACGGCCCUAUGGGU